GUGCUCACUUUGGCAGCACAUAUACUCAAAUUGGCCCAGUACAGAGAAGAUUAGCGUGGCCUGUGCACAAGGAUGAAACCCAAAUCCAUGUUUUGUUCUCUGUGUGU
rnacentral:snRNA from 1 species